rnacentral:sRNA from 1 species
GGUAUUUUUUUAUACAGAAAAAUUAAAACAUGCGCAAGCUCUGGACUAGAUAUUAUUUUUUACAUUUUACUUUCAUUAUUUAAGCAUCUGUGAUUUCUAUGGCAACAUCUGACAUUUCUUUUAAAACAUCUGUCAUUUCUAUUAAACUCUAAUAAACCUUCAGCCAAUUAUUUUCUCCAAAGAUCCUGUAUCUGUUGUUGUUUCCCCUUGUUCAGGCUCAAGCCCUGAUGUAGCUCACAAAUUAUUGGAGCAUGUUUGUCGACUGUAGUCUCAUAUACGUUUCGUUAGACUGAGAUCAUAAAUUUUAUUAGAUUGUGCGCCCGUAUAAGUUUCAUUAGACUGAGGUCAUAUAACUUUCAUUUGACUGAGGUCAUAUAACUUUCAUUAGACUGAGAUCAUAACUUUCAUUUGACUGAGGUCAUAAAACUUUCAUUAGACUGAGAUCAUAACUUUCAUUUGACUGAGGUCAUAACUUUCAUAAGACUGAGCUCAUAACUUUCAUUUGAGCAUAUUUGCUUUGAGCUCUUGUAACUGUUAUCUAUGAAGCUUGGUGCUAUGCCUAGCCUAGGCUGAUGUACAGCUACAUCUAUGAGCCAGAGACUGGAGGCUGUUGUUCUUACUGAGCUCUCUACGUGUCUUUUCUUAAUUUUGUCAUGGUUGAGAUUUGAACCCAGGGAUAUCGUGCGAAGAGAAUUCAUUCUAAUGCCUGAGCUGUGAGUUUUCCGCUCCAUAAUUGUCCCUUUUCAAGAAGCAGUGCCAGUAAUUCACCUGGACACAUUCAUUUAUCUCUGCAGACAGAAACAGUAGACUAGUAUUAUUAUAGUAGUAUUGCGCCUCCUUCUUGUUUUUGUGAGAGCACAAUAUGGCCUCUAAAACCUGAGACCUAUUUCCCUUCGAAUGUCAAAAUAUGCACAAUUGUACCGAUUGUUGACUGGAAUCCACACCUCCCACCCUAUGUCUAGCCAGCCACAAGUAUAAAUAUAACUAUCCCAGUUAGCUUUUUGGGAAAGCCUAUGUCUUUUUUUUGUCAUAUUAUUUAUUUUCAUUGAUCGUUAUUUCUUCUUAAUGAUGAGUUAUGCCACUGAGAGGCUAUAUUAAAUGUUGUAAAUGGAGUAGUCCUAUCAGUAUUACAACACUGAUGGAGGUUGAGUAGUCCUGUUGGUAUUGCACAUAUGAUAGUGUUAUUGUAGGCAAAGCUUUUAUAGAUUGUAGUUGGAGCGAGCUUAUUGUUAUUGCAGUACUGGUGGGAGAUCUGAUCCACAUAAACUUCAAAGAAUUUGUUUCACCCCAUCAUUCUACUUGAUACUGUUAUUUUCUUAAAUCAUUGUACAUUCAUCCAAUCCUAGCCACUAAUAUGAACUCAUGUCUGUAUGAACUUAAAGGGAAAGUAAUAGAUAAAUUGACCUUUGAACUUUGUAUGAUCUUAAAGAGAAAGUAAUGGAUUUCAUUGCCAUCAUUUUAAAUAAGCCAGUGUCACACACUCCUUCAUACUAUUCUCAAAUUCAUUUUCUUGUUUGUAUCCAUAUUUAGCUGAAUGUAAAUGACACAAAUGAAAGGGACUCCUUGUCUAUCAAUUUUAGAACCUUUCAAUGUGCAAUGCUCCUUUUUUUUUAGCCUUAUUUCUGCAUUAGUAAAGCAAUAACUAUCAGAAUGUCUACUGUUCAGAAUGUCUACUGUCUGUUCGUGUUUUACAUUCUAAACUUAUUAACUUGCAAACCCAGUAGCAAUCAGCUUUCAUGGACUGGUCAGUUUGGUCAGCCUGGUGUAAGUGUAUCCCAAAUCACUGACCCUUAACUAAAGGGUCUGGACCAUUUAAGUAUCGCAAUUUUUAAUAUAUAACAUGAUUUUACUAUAUACAUUUGUAUGUCUACAUAUAAGAUACUGUACAGUCGAGACUUGCUAAGCUGUUCAUAGCGUGUGCAUUGUGAGCAGAUGGUACUAUGGCACGAAAGAAGACUUAUGGGGGAGGGGGGGGCUUUAAAUAAUGCUGUGAAUGGGCACUGGGGAAACGGCACUGGCCGUACGCUUAUCAAGUCUUGGCGGUCUACCUGUAUAUGUAACUAGUCAGUCAAGGUUGAUGUCAUUAGACUCGGUGUAUGUACAUGUAUGUUAGGCUGUCAGAUCAAAACUAAUACCUAUAACUAUCUGUAUGCUGUUGUUAUAUUUCAUCAGGACUCAUUUGUACAUUAUUUGUUAUUCAUUUUGUUAUUUUGCUGAGUUAUGUGACUUGAGUAACCUCCCCUUGUACAAAAAAAAAAGUUUUAUUACUAUGAAAAAAAAAUGAAUAAAAAAAUUUCCUAAUAAAUCUUUAACUGUUUCUUCAUGAUCA